AUGGCGGAGAAAAUAAACAUAAAUACUACUGUUGUUGAGUCACGGAAUGUAAUUUAAGAAUGUUUUCAGUCGAGAAGUUAGUAGUUUAAGCAUCAAAUCUGUUGUCAGUUUAUCGAGAUUCAGCCUAAAAAAAAUAUUCGCCGGAGAUUGUCGGUCCUGCUGCAGACCGGUGAGCUCCACAGCGCCGGGCGGUCAGCGCGCUGUGUGGCCGUCGAGAGCAGCCUGAUCUCGGCAGGACUAUUUUAAUUGCUCCGCUGGCUCUGAUGUCUCCGGGUGUUUUUAAUUACAGCCUGUCCCGAACUGACGCACUCGUGUCUACAUUUCACAAAAUGCAAUUGUCUUGUCCAACCAACUUCCAGUUAAAUACACAUUAUAAAAUAGCACAUCUACCUAGUUUUUAUUCCAUUAGUUUGUAUUUCGUCAAUCACAGUCGUAAAAGAAAGUAAAGCUGAUCGUGUGAAAUCCCGGGGGAACACCAGCGGGAGACCCUGAUGAAUAUACCAAGCGCUCCUCAAAACCUGGACGUGUUUGGGAAACAACAGUCUGCCUUCAGUGCGCAGUGAAUUUCAUCGGCGUCAGUCCACUAUCGCUUUUCAGGAGCCUCACAGGCCUGAAACUCAAAGGACCCUGCAAAGGCCACAAGACAGUGCAGCAGCUGUGAGUCACAAGGAUUCACUUGCAGCAGCUGCUGAGGCAAACUGACUGUGUGGGUUUUCUUCAUGAACUGGGCCGUGAUGAAAGGGACGGCGGGGACACCGCUGCAAAGCUGAAACCUCACCGGCCCGGACAGUACUCUGGUGUGGGUGUCUGAAGUCACCACGUGCAUUUAAGCUAGCACCGAGAUACAAUCCAAGAGCUACCACUGCAGUUAUUCAUGUACCGGAGGUUCCCAUUUGAGAGGGUGUGUAAAGUGCAUAAAUAACCGUCGUGGUGACGUGAGUCCCGGUGCAACACGACGAGGAGUCCUGCCUGGAGUUGCUGUUGAGGACCAGUGACCAGGUGGCUGAGAUCCGAAGUUCACCGAGGACGGAGAGGAAGAAGGUCGCUCCCGGAGAAGAAGAAGCGUUCAUCAGUCCCACCUCAACCUGCAGGCUUUCAAGUGACUGGAGUGGAGCUAAGUUGGCACAGACACGGUCACCAUGUCGGACAGAGACGUUGAGGAAGAGCAGAACUUCGAGAAGAGACUGAUUCUUUAGAACAAUGACAGGCACAGUUUGUCGAACUGAGCGAGAGGCAUGACAAAGCCAUGGAAGCUAUUGAUGCAUUAAAUAAGGGUUAGAAUAGGUCAUAUGUCUCUGUACCAAGAGAGCGCCAGAUCCAGCCCUUUUGUGGCGAUGCAGCCAAAGAUGGUCGCUCUAUUGAUGAGUUUAUUGAGGCUGUAGACCAGGGGUGGGCAAACCUGUUAACCUGCGGCCCACAAUCGGUUCUAAAAUUGGACAGCCGGGCUGGCCAGGAGCAUUUGGACACACAAUGUAAUUUAUCAAACCUGGAGAUUGCGUCUGUUUUUUAUACAUUUCAAUUGAAGGUGCAAAGUUAAAGAAAUCAACAUUUACUGGAGAAAGAUCAAUAGAAUCACUUUCAACAUUCAAAACAUAUUAUUACCCAACGAAAUACUCAAGCUCAAUAAUUUGUAUUUGUUUUAAACCCCGCAAAAUAAUUGACGGAUUGUCUUGAGAGAUUUUCUGUAUUAAAUAUCCUGCCUGCAGCAGAAACUAGAAA